AGUACAAGUGUUCUAGGCUCCAGUGAGUCCUCAGCAAUUGAAUACUGAUGCAUUCACAGAUCAAUGGCUUGAACACAGAUUCUAGGAUUUGAUGUCAUGCUGUAAAUUCAUCGAAAGCAUGUUUGAUGCCCAGUCCUUUCAUUGAGUAUUGAAUGCCAUUAACCAUUAAUUCAAAAUGUUUGUUUCUCCUAAUUUAUAAACCUUGGCAUGAAAGGGCUGGGGUAUCUGAGAAAGGGGAAGGUGAUGAGGGGCAGAGGAUCGACAGUGUGGUAAGUGAAGGGCGGUAACGAGAAAUAUUAUUAUGCUUCAGCAAACCACACAAGAAAUGGAGGCUCCACUACCCUUGCUGCUCUUACGUAUGCAGGAACACCUCAAGAAGCUGACUUUGUUCUAUGUCAGAUUCCAUUCUUACCUACCCAAUUGAAAAAAAUGCUUUUCAGUGUCGGCCUCUUACUAAUAUCCAACGUUUUGAAACCCAUUUUUCUAUUGUGAAUUAGUGGAAUGCAACAAGCUCUCCACAAGUAUAUAUAGCCAUGUGGAUUAGUGGAUGCAUCUUUAUCUUUUCAUGGAAUUCGUAAUAAAGUUGAUGUUUAUCCUUAUUCUAGCUCUUACUGCGUCAUCCUCUCUGGAGUCUGUUGUAGGAGCUAGACAUGGGCAAUGGUCUAAAGAGAAGAAACAUAACUCAUGGGCAUCAGAGGAUCUUGUGAGUGAUUUGCCAGGCCAGCCUGAGGUAGACUUCCGGCACUAUGCUGGGUAUGUGACGGUCAGCCAAGAAAAAGGAAGGGCACUCUUCUACUGGUUCUACGAGGCGGCAACUCUCCCUGACAAGAAGCCUUUGGUUCUGUGGCUUAAUGGAGGUCCCGGCUGUUCUUCUGUGGGAAAUGGAGCAACAAAAGAGAUUGGCCCAUUUAUCCUGGAUGGAGAUGGACGUGCUCUUAAACUUAAUCCUUAUUCAUGGAAUGCAGAAGCCAAUAUGUUGUUCCUGGAAUCCCCAGUUGGUGUUGGCUUUUCAUACUCUAAUACAUCUACUGACUACGAUACUCUUGGAGAUGACUUUACAGCAAAUGAUGCUUAUACUUUCCUGCAUAAAUGGUUCCUCAAGUUCCCAUCCUAUAAAACACGGCAAUUUUAUGUGGCAGGGGAGAGCUAUGCAGGGAAAUAUGUGCCGGAGUUGGCUGAGCUCAUCCAUGAAAAGAACAAGGACCCAUCACUAUUUAUUGAUCUGAGGGGCAUAUUGCUGGGUAAUCCUGAAACAAAUGAUGCCGAGGACUGGAAGGGCCUUGUUGAUUAUGCUUGGAGCCAUGCUGUGGUAUCAGAUGAAACUCAUAAAACCGUUGGAGAGUCCUGUGAUUUCAGCAGUAAAAAUCCAUGGAGCAAUAAAGACUGUAACGGAGCUGUUGGUGAAGUACUGAGACAGUACAAGGAGAUAGACAUCUUCAGCCUUUAUACUUCAGUCUGCAUCAGCAAUUCAACAGGUUCAGACCAGACAUCACUGCAAGUAAAGUUUAGGAGCACGUCUAAGAUGAUGCCAAGAAUCAUGGGUGGUUAUGACCCAUGCCUUGAUGACCACGUAACAAGUUACUACAACAGACCUGAUGUGCAGAGGGCCCUCCAUGUCAGUGAUGGUCUCCACCUCAAGAACUGGAGCCUAUGCAAAUACGAUUUUCUGGGUGCUUCAGUGGUGACACGGAUGGAAGGGUUCCUGUAUUAUCCACAAGAUACAGCUUAAGCUCCUUGGGACUGCCCAUCAAGAGGCCAUGGAGGCCCUGGUACCACAAUAAGCAGGUUGCUGGUUGGCUCCAAGAAUACGAGGGGCUCACAUAUGCAACAUUCAGAGGAGCUGGACACGACGUUCCCACCUUCAAACCAAGUGAGUCGCUCGCUUUCUUCUCAUCCUUCCUUCAGGGGGAAUCUCCGCCUUCUGAACGUGCU